UUUAGUUAUUCCAGUUACUAACUUGCGAUUGGGUUCUCGAAAAUAAGACACAGCUUUGGGAGGCAGAGUUCAAAAGAGCGGAUUACACAAUACCACAGCAAGUUUCAGGUGAUUAUUUGGAGAAUUUCCAAAAGGAUCUUAAUUCGAUGCGCUACGUCAUAGACGACUUGGAAAUUCACAAGCAGACAUCUCUUUAAUCAAGAUUUCCAGUUAAGCAAGAAAUUCCGCAAUUAACAGUAGUGAUACGAUAAACAUCACUGGUGUAACACCAGAAACGGUUACAACAUUGGGAACCACCAACUACAAUAAAUUAAACUCUACGCAGAAGGAAGCCAUGGCGGAGUUCAUGGCCGAACACCCUGACUUGGCAAAGAAUAUACUCCCAAACUGCUCGCAGGGAAAAGCAACGGCCAACCGUUUGUGGGAAAACCUCACCAAACAAUUACAUGUGGUGGACCUUUUCAGGAGUCAUGGGCUGCACCUCUAUAUUCACAAUUUAUGGCAAGAAUCUUGCAAGUGUGGUCACAAAUCUGGCAAACGGAAUAUUAGCAAUAAAAUGUUAAAAUGAAAGAAGAGAAACUUACUAGCAUAACGUUAAGACUAUGGUAACCUUUCCUGUUGAAGUACAUGUGCUCGUCUCUAAUUGGCUUUUGUAAUCCAAUGUGUGUUCCGUCUACGCAUCCAACCACUAAAAGGAAAAACAUUGGAUUCACUACGCAUUUCAUCAGAACUCCUCUUGCUACCCCAGACGUUGGACGUCAAUUUUGAUACCGUGCUCUGGCACAUACCUAUCAGGUGAUCGCUACCAACUGUUUGCUGAUAGCUACCACUUGCAAGGAGCGAGAAGCUUGCAGCCAAUUGCAAAGCAGCAGGAACGGCUUUUGUGUCAUCGCAGUUUAUGUUUGUUUUCGAUAAAACAUACUGGAAUAUCUCCUUGCUUAACCGAAAUAUUUUUGGUGAAUCUGCAAGUAUAGGAGUAGAGAAGGUAAUUUAUUUCCUAUGUAUAAUUACUUACGCGUUGUCGGAUAAUGCGAAUGGAUUGCUUCUGCCCCGAAGUUGCUUACGCACAACUCUUUCGUCAUUUUCGCUUUCGCUAGAGCUUAAAUAAAAUAAAAGGCUCGGAUCCAUUUUAGUUUUGCCGCUUUUCUUUAUUUACUUUUCACUUAUUUUGACACUUCAAUGUCUAUUGUGACUUAAAAAAGGAAGAAGAAGAGAAAAAUAAUCGAUAACCAAAUAAACAAUAACGAUUCGUUCGCCUUCGAUUGUUAUCAUCCGAUAUUGUUCAUUCGAUUAAACGAUCACGUAAUUUGUCUUCGUACGAUUGCCGACUCGUUCACGUCUGUCACGAUUCGACCCCUGGUUUUAGGAAAAGGCACUCGUGUGAAACUGCACUCAACUUAGUAUUAGCUCGCUGGAAAGAAGAAUUGAGCAGAAAUAAAUACAUAGUUGCUGUCUUCUUAGCCUUAAAGCGCACAUUUGAGACCAUAGAUCAAGAGUUACUUUUAAAUAAAUUGAGUAAUAUAGGGAUACGGGGUGUUGAGCUAAAAUGGUUUCAAAGUCUUAUUACGAAUCGUUACCAGAGAACACAGAUUGGAUCAUCGGUAUCUGACAAAAGAGGUAUAGUGGUUGGUCUACCUCAAGGCUCAGUGCUAGCACCUAUAUUAUUAUUAUUAUUAUUAGUGCUAGCACCUAUACUAUUUAAUCAUGGUUGUU